AGUGAAUAGAUACCCGGGUAGUCCACGCUGUAAACGAUGAAUACUAGGUGUCAGGGGUCAAACCUUGGUGUCGCAGCUAAACGCAUUAAGUAUUCCGCCUGGGGAGUACGCACGCAAGUGUGGAACUCAAAGGAAUUGACGGGGACCCGCACAAGCAGCGGAGCAUGUGGUUUAAUUCGAAGCAACGCGAAGAACCUUACCAGGUCUUGACAUCCUCUUGACCGGUCCUUAGCCGGACCUUUCCUUCGGGACAAGAGAGACAGGUGGUGCAUGGUUGUCGUCAGCUCGUGUCGUGAGAUGUUGGGUUAAGUCCCGCAACGAGCGCAACCCUUGCCUUUAGUUGCCAUCAGGUAAUGCUGGGCACUCUAGAGGGACUGCCGGUGACAAACCGGAGGAAGGUGGGGAUGACGUCAAAUCAUCAUGCCCCUUAUGAUCUGGGCUACACACGUGCUACAAUGGUCGGUACAACGGGCAGCCAAGGAGCAAUCUGGAGCCAAUCCCUUAAAGCCGAUCCCAGUUCGGAUUGUGGGCUGAAAC
rnacentral:rRNA from 1 species